rnacentral:lncRNA from 1 species
UUUGGAGACAAUGUUAGUUUCGGUGCAAGAUAGGUGCAUAGUUUGUGCCUAAUGCACCAUAGUCUAAGAAACCAUUUUUGAUACACCUGUUUGUACUCCUAGAUGAAGAGGCUCAAGUGGAAGCUCGGUUCGAUCUGUUUGGAGAUAGUGCUAAUCUUGAUGCAAGAUAGUUGCACAGUUUGCAUGAAACGUACCAUAUGUUAAGAUAUCAAUUUGGACGCACCCAAUGGAACUCCUAGAUGACGUGUGUCAUAUGGAAUCUCGCUUCGGUCUUUUUGGAGACAAUGUUAGUUUCGGUGCAAGAUAUGUGCAUAGUUUGUGCCUAAUGCACCAUAGUCUAAGAAACCUUUUUUGACGCACCUGUUUGUAGAUGAAGAGGAUCAAGUGGAAGCUCGGUUCGAUCUGUUUGGAGAUAGUGCUAAUGUUGAUGCAAGAUAGGUACACGGUUUGCAUGGAACAUACCAUAUGCUUGGAAAUCAAUUUGGAUGCACCCGAUGGAACUCCUAGAUGAUGUGUGUCAUAUGGAAUCUCUCUUUGGUUUGUUUAGAAACAGUGUUAGUUUCGGUGCAAGAUAUGUGCAUGGCUUGCGCCCAAUGCACAAUAGUCUAAGAAACCAUUUUGGAAGCACCUGUUGGUACUUCGUGAUGAGGACAUCAACACCAGCGAUACAUCCUCUCCUACAUCCUCUCCGACACAACCUAUAGCUGGUCCUACAUCUCCAUCCACCAAUCGAGUUAUCCCCGUCUCUCAUCAAAAGAUCAGGCCAAAAACCCUAGCGGGUUCGCAUCAGUUGGUAAUCAGAGCAAGGUUCUUCGGUGAGAGACUUCUAAUCCUUUGCUGUUUUUAAUUAAUUUCCUAUAGUCCAGAAAAGCCAAAAAAAAUAUAGUAGAUUAGUUUUUCCAUAAUCCUAUUAAACCUUUGUGCCUUGGCUAGUACCGUUUUAGUUAGAGCUUGUUGAAUUUGCGUUGCUUCGGUUUGUGUCGAGUUGCUGGUCUUAGUGUCUAGUCCUUUAGAGUUUUGAGUUCUUGUCACCAUCUAUACACAGCCGAGUAUUACCAUAUCUUCUCUCUGUCGAAUCUGUUGUGAAGUCUGAAUUGAACUGUGAUCCAAAAAGAAAGAUAACUCCAUACUUGUUCGGCCUUACUCUAGAGAGAGAGAGAGUGUGUGUGUGUGUGUGUAGCGAAUUGCUCUUUUGUAUUCCUUUGUUCAUAUAAUCAGUUUUUGAGGUUGCCCAAAAAAAGAAAAAAAAGAAAAAAAAGAAAAGAGAAAAGAUUCAAAAGAAAAAAAAGGGGCUGUUUUUCAUAUUGAUUUUAGAUUUCUUCCACCUUGUUUUCGGGGGUGUGCUGUGGUUUUCCUUUGUGUCCAGGCUCGCGUCUCUAGCACGGUCUAGCCUAGGACCAGCACAGUACCAUCGUCGAACGCUUAUUCAGCUCGCUUUUAUAACUAACGUGGUGCUAGUUCGUUCCUUGUUUCAGCCCACCUAUAGCUCCACAAACUCUACAGCUUGACAGGUCUUGUGCUGCAGCACCGAUACACUUCGUCCAUUGCUGUACA